UAAAUGACUGUGCUACCCCUUUUCACAUCAAAGAAUGGAGAACUACUGACAACAUAGGCCACGCCUGCCUCUCCCUCCUGCCAUAUAGGCAGAUAGGA